rnacentral:rRNA from 1 species
GACGAACGCUGGCGGCGUGCUUAACACAUGCAAGUCGAACGGAAAGGCCCUUCGGGGUUCUCGAGUGGCGAACGGGUGAGUAACACGUGGGUGAUCUGCACUGCACUUUGGGAUAAGCCUGGGAUACUGGGUCUAAUACCGAAUAGGACCACGCGCUUCAUGGUGUGUGGUGGAAAGCUUUUGCGGUGUGGGAUGGGCCCGCGGCCUAUCAGCUUGUUGGUGGGGUAAUGGCCUACCAAGGCGACGACGGGUAGCCGGCCUGAGAGGGUGACCGGCCACACUGGGACUGAGAUACGGCCCAGACUCCUACGGGAGGCAGCAGUGGGGAAUAUUGCACAAUGGGCGCAAGCCUGAUGCAGCGACGCCGCGUGCGGGAUGACGGCCUUCGGGUUGUAAACCUCUUUCAAUAGGGACGAAGCGCGAGUGACGGUACCUAUAGAAGAAGCACCGGCCAACUACGUG